GACGUAGGGUGCGAGCGUUGUCCGGAUUUAUUGGGCGUAAAGAGCUCGUAGGCGGCUUGUCGCGUCGGCUGUGAAAACCCGCGGCUCAACCGCGGGCCUGCAGCCGAUACGGGCAGGCUAGAGUUCGGUAGGGGAGACUGGAAUUCCUGGUGUAGCGGUGAAAUGCGCAGAUAUCAGGAGGAACACCGGUGGCGAAGGCAGGUCUCUGGGCCGAAACUGACGCUGAGGAACGAAAGCGUGGGGAGCGAACAGG
rnacentral:rRNA from 1 species